rnacentral:rRNA from 1 species
UUUGACCUCAAACCAGGUAGGAUUACCCGCUGACCUAAUACAUAUCAAUAAGCGGAAGAGAAA